GGCGCGGCGCCGGUGACCGCCUGGGGCCGGGGGGCUUGCAGGAGGCGGGGGAGUCCCGGGGGUCCCGUCUUCCCUCAGCAAGAGGUUGUGCCCGGCCGGUGAUCCGUGAGCACCGCACACAGCCCCUCCCGUGCAGUCCCGCCGCGGGCCAGCGGUGCGGUGCUGCCGCGCCAAACCGCCGCUUGGCCGUAACACCCCAUUUCUGAAGAGCAAACACAGCGCAGUUCAGUUCCCUUCUGAUCUCAUCAAAGCUGCCUGGCAGCUUAAAAAGGUAGAAACGCUUUGUUUUAAGCGGUAAAACCGAGAUUUGAAAGAUGAGGUAUACUACAAGUUUGAAUAUGCUGAAGGAAAUGUCAUCCAGCAUCACUUAGUACAGCAAGUCAAGGAUAUUACCCAGAGUACUGAGCAGAGAUCUAGACUGUAGAAUCCAAGAUACAAGAUACAUCCUGCACCAAUGUGAGUCCAGAGCUAAACGAAGACAGACCUUCAAGUCUCCUACUGACAGAGGGGAGCUCUGGGCUCCUGUCUCCCACCCCUGUGCAGGCAGACCUAUGUCUUGCUCCUUUGUAUCUCUGUGCCGUGGUGUGCAACUUGCCGAGUGCAGCUGGUAUGCUGGGUAUUUGGUGCCAUAGGGAUGGAAGUAAAGGGCAUUCAGUGUGCAAAGUGGACCCAACAAACGGUACUUAUGCCCCAACUGCAAACUAGUGCCACAGACCUUUCCUGAGACCUCCAUCCUGCUCCCAGGAUGCCUCCAUCUGAGGCAUAGGGUCCCCUUGUUUGAAAAACAAAAUGGUAGCAUUCUGUGUUCAGAGGUGAUUUAAUCUGGCAAAACUAAGUCAUCAACAGAAGUGGGCAGGUGGGAUACUGGAAACGUUCUGACUUGAAUCAAUUCAGGCAGAUAGAAUACUGUUUUAACGUCUUGUAAGUGGAACAAUAGUGCCAUCAUGUGGGCAGGAUGGUGAGUAAGUCCUCGGAGAAUUUUGAAUAUAUUGCUAUUUCAGUAAUCUAGAUUCAUCUUGGAUCCAAUUGAUCUGAUAUUAAAAUUGACAGCUUAAUUAGUCCUAGGUCCUGACAUUUAAUUAGUGUAUGAAACAUAAUCAGUUCCAUAAAGAAUGACAUAAAAACAUAUGGAGCAUUAAACACACCUCUUGAUUAUAUACCACUGCUACCAGUUACCAUAACCAGGUUUUAUUGGACAUUUUAUUCAUUCUAGUUUUUUACAACAGGUGCUAGCUAUUUAUGCAAAUAUUGAAAAUUAAAUGGCCCACAGAGAUGCUUUUAAUUUCUCCUUCUCUUAAUACUUUUAUUAGUAUCUUUAAUGCCCAAAAUUCAGAUGAGCGGAGUGGUUCCAAUUCAGUCUCCCAGUGAUACAAAGACCUGCUGCUUAAAACAUUGGGGAAUGUGGUUUAGGUAGUGCUUGCACUGUAUGAAAUAUUUUCCAGCAAUAUGAAAUCACUUGCCAGCAAUCGUUCGUGACCUUCCAGGGUACAAAAUGUGUAAAUAAAUAGUAGGCGUGCAAUAGGAAAGAUUGUUUAUGGCACAGAUCUCUUAGUCUUUAUCUUGACUGUGUGUUAAGAUUUGACCAGAGCUUGAAACUCUGAAAAAGAAAUAAAAGAAUAAUAAAAUGGGACCACAUUUUGUAAUCACACAGUCAAAAAAGUAUUUUCUUAAUUUUUAGAGUUAAAAUGGGAAACUAAUGAUUCUUCCUCGUAUAAUCAUUCCAUAAAGGUAGUACAUUGUAUACUCACACUAAUAGAUACCUAAGACAAAGGAAGUGUUGCAUUUGUCACAUCAUACCAUAGUUCAACAGUAAAAGCAGUGAAAUGAUAUGCUGAAAUUUUAUAAAUAUAUCAAUUUGAGUUCCAGUCCUGAAAAAGCUCUCUGUAGGUGAAAAAAGAGACUGACUGCCUGUAGCCAAGGGCACAAAACAGAUUGGCUCCUGC